rnacentral:rRNA from 1 species
ACUUUACAAUGCUGGCAACAGCGAUAAGGGAACCUCGAGUGCCAGGUUACAAAUCUGGCUGUCGAGAUGCCUAAAAAGCAUUUCAUAGCAAGGGCCGGGCAAGACCGGUGCCAGCCGCCGCGGUAACACCGGCGGCCCGAGUGGUAAUCGUGAUUAUUGAGUCUAAAGGGUCCGUAGCCGGUUUGGUCAGUCCUCCGGGAAAUCUGAUAGCUCAACUAUUAGGCUUUCGGGGGAUACUGCCAGACUUGGAACCGGGAGAGGUAAGAGGUACUACGAGGGGUAGGAGUGAAAUCCUGUAAUCCCUGUGAGACCACCUGUAGCGAAGGCGUCUUACC